rnacentral:lncRNA from 1 species
CAUGGAGGCACAUAAUAGCCUCUCCAACCAACUACCCCGUGAGACAGACAUGGGAAGACAUCGUGCUGGCCAUGCAGUUGACAGCCAUGUGUCUAGGAGCGUUAAUGGCACUAUGUGUUGUGGCUUGUUGCGCCUACAAGAUCUGUGGUCCGGCUGAAGAGCUGGAGUGGGGGUCACAGUAUUCCGUGCUCAAGAAGCCUCCGCGCCAGCCUCCAGAGCUUCUGCGGGAGCUCUGAGCCAGGUCCUCGCCCUCUGCCUCAUCCCAGGCGGCCUCCACCACCACCUGGGUCUUCAAGGACACCGCAGACUACCCAGGGAGGCCGUAAGUGUCCUAAUUUAUUUGGCAGAGGGCGAGUGACAAGAAAUAACAACAGUACACAAUCUUCAAAAGUUUGACAGAUAGAUGUCUGAUUAUUGAAGGAUACGUGGUCCUAAAUCUUCAAGGAUACUGAAAACUUCCCAGAGCCACUAGUGUCUACAUGUUCCUCAACAGACUGAAAGCUGAAAAUAACUCGAGCACAUCAUCAAAAGCUGAUCAUAAACAGUAAGGUAUAUGACUGCUGGACAGCUACCUGGAGUCAUUAAGGACAUUUCAGACUCCUGUGAAGGGUCAUAGGUGUCCUGAUAUACCUGGAUAAAUGGCGAGUGGCAUAGAGAAUUUCAGCACACCUUCAGAAGCUUAUCAGGAAGGUGUUUGAUAGAUUAUUGUUAAAAUGUACACAGAGGCGAAUGACAAACAUUAAUCUCAUAGGAGACAGACAUUGACACUAACCAUUCUCUUGCUAUUUACUGUAGCGUGAGACGAGUUGGCGUCCUACCAGGUCCUGUCUAACAAAGCCAAUAAUGUGUUAUGUCUCCGGGCAAUUUGCCGAUAGGCCGACAGACAAUAAAUCUUGUCAUCUUACCUGUAAGAACCUGACAAAGUUUGACGUCAUGCCAUACAGUAUUACCCAAACUAUUGAUGACGUUUUAUCAGUACUUGAAACUAAAUAAAAUGUCGGUGUUUACAGAGGGCUUCCUAGUUCCCCUUAGUGUCGUGUGUUAGAGGGAAAUAAGAUACACUGUAGUGUUUGUCUUUAAGAGUAUGAAAUUCAGAUCGACAUCAGUGACCUGUAAAGAACGUCCAGAGACCAACAGUAACAGAGACUCCUGAAGAUAACAGCAAGACAUAGUCUCAAUCAGUGCUAAAAAAAAUGUCCUAUGUUUGUUAUGAUCAAGUGUUACCAAAAUAGACAUUAAGUUUACAGAAGAGUUUCUCUCUGACUCAGUUAUAACGUGUUAUUUUCUGUUUACAGUCAAGUUUGUAUUAAAAGCAAAAUAGUUUUGUGAAAAUUGACUCGAUGAAAAUUAACACGUUAGAAAAGAAAGAGAUUUAUGAAUGUUGAUCGUCAGUCAGCACUGUUAAACAAUUUGCUUAUGUAUAAUAUCGCGUUGUGUAUGACUGUGUGUCCCUGGCGUUGUUCCUGUGUAGGUGGAUGUGUGACUGAGGGUCUAAUGAGAAUUUAACAACCAGGUAAACUAACCAUCCAUCGACGGCAAGUCCCCCGGCAAAAAAGUGCAAAUGCCUUUAAUUCUAUUAUGAAAUCCAACUUAAGCUUCAGUUCUACCUAUUGUGACUGUUAUGCCGUGAGUGUUCCUCUUAUAACCCUCUAUGAGUGAAUUCAGAUGCUUUAAGAGUAAAAAUAAAGGAUAUUUUUUUCUAAGUUGCUCUAAAUUAGAAUUAUCCUCCAGGUAAUCCAUAUGAGAUGUUGGAGACUUCCGAUGAACCAAAACCACUAAGUACCUCGUAUGGAUCACAUCAACCAAAGACAAGACCCGUAACGUAACUUUAGCACAUCUAGGGUAAGGCGUCUACGAGGACACUAACGUUUCAGAAUUGUUCCCCCCCCAAAAAAAAAUAAUAGUAAUCUGUCCCACUGAAAACGUUUGUCUACUGAAGAGGUGAAAUUUUGAACGUAGAUAUUGUCUGUCCUGUUGAGAGAUAUGAUUUCAGCUGUCUGUGUUCACUUAGAUUUUGUGACUUCAGAUGUCUACUUAAAUAUGUGACUUCACCUGUCUGUAUUCACUUAGAUAUAUGACUCCCGCUGUCUGUGUUCACUUAUAUAUGUGGCUCAAGAUAACUGUAUUCACUUAAGGCUUCGGCUGUCUGUUUCUACGUAUCAAAGUCAUUUAUAGACGUAUGUGUACAGGAGGAACUAGUAUGUUUAUACAGGAAUUCACCUCUUAGAAACAACCACAGUAAUGUUUACAAACAAUAGUCAUGUGAUAUUGUUUAAAAGCAGUACAAUAAAUAAACACUUUCUAUGAGGGAUGUAAUGGUAGAGUCUUCAGGACCGUAGGACUUUUAACUCCUUCAGUGUCAUGUAGGACACUUUUACUGGUCGUCAUGAUGUCCUUUGUGCUAUUAAAUUUUGAGUCCUAUAAUGGAAUAAAUCACAUUUGCUAGUAAAUCCUGAAGCCAAUGUCGAUUUGUAGGACCUUGUCUCAUGUAGAAGAGAGUCGCAAGUAAGUCCUUCUGUCCAGUGUCAUUGUGUAGGACUCGUGUCACCAGUUGUAAAAAAGAGAGGCACUAGCAAGGCCUGUUAUCUAAUAUUACUAGGUAGGAUUUUCAUCUCCUUCGGUACUAUGAAAGACAGUUACUAUAGUAUAUAGUCCUAUUGUCCAAUAUCCUUGUGUAGGACUCUUGUCACUUAUGGCGUAGAAAAUAAUUAAUAAGAAGUCCUACUGUCCAAUGUCCUUCUGUAGGACUAUUUGUCACUUGUAGGAUAUGAGGCGAUUACUGUAAAGUCCUAUAGUCCAGUGUCACUAUGGCCUUAGACUUCUUCAGUGGAAAAUAGCAAAAGUAGGAGUAUCUUUCAGUGUCCUUCUCUUAGACUCCGUGGCGGCAGACAACCCUUUAGUGGUCGUCCUGUGGUCUAGUCUUGUCUGUGGAAGAAUUUCGAAUCCCUCAGUGGUACGUGGGAUAUUUUCCGGUAGUAUUGUGAUCCGAUGUAAGUUAUAAACGUGUAGGAUAAUGUAAGUGUGUGUAUUUGAGUGUGUGUGUGUGUGUGUGUGUGUGUGUGUGUGUGUGUGUGUGUGUGUGUUGUACUUGUGUGUAGACUGUGUCACAUGCUGUAGGCGGCCGUUCCAUGAUAAUAUUAAUGUCAUUCAGUAAGUAAACAUGUUCCUGUCGAUCAGUCAAGUCAAAUCAGUGAGUGUGCUAAUGUUGCCUGGAUCACUGUGCUGCUGUAGUAUUUCUUGAUCAGUGUUAGCAAGAAUAUAGAUCAGUGUUUAUUGAUAUGUGUUGACUGGAAUGUUGAUCAGUGUGUUGGUGAGUCUUAGCAAGAAUUUUGAGCAAUGUUUUGUUGAUGAGUGUCGACCAGAAUGUUGAUCAGUGCAUGGUGAUCAGUGUUACCUCAGACAAUAAAAUAGUAUAUUUGUGAAGGAAUUUUUCCACAACUAGACUGUUUAAACUUUGACCUAAGAUAAACAACACUGUAAACACGAAAGUAGCUAAUGACUUGCUACUUUUAUGUCAUAAGCUUUUGUAAACACAAAGUACUGGGUAUAUAAAUUUCUUCCCUCAAAAUAUGGAAAUAAUACUAACUUACGAAUAAUUUACUGCUUGAAAUUUUAGCCUCACAAAAACAAUACUGGAACAUUGCUUACAAAACUACUGAUACAUUUACCACAAAGCAAUUACUUGAACACAAUUCUCACCUGCACCGCUGUGGUAAUAAAUGCUUUCAUUAACUAACCAAAAGCUUUUAACUGGAAACUUAACUACUUGUAUAUAGCAUCAAUCGGUGAAUAAAGUAGAUUGAUAAUUUUUAAAAGAAUCUUUUCUCGAUUUAUUAAAACUAGAAUUUUGUCUUACUGUAGGAGAUAGCACUCUAAUUAUUGCUCUUUGAAUUACAAAACAAAACAUAUAAAUAGUACUUAACUAUAUCUGGACAUUCAGUACUAGAGUAUAAUUUCAGUGAAUCAUAUUUCUAGAAUAUUUUCCCAACUAGACAACAAACUCUAUAGAUUCAACAAAAUCCCAUUUAUUUUGAUAUUAAACUUGUAUCGUUUCUUGCAUCAUGUUUAUCAAUAUUUUUACUUGACAUUUCCCGUCACCUGAAAACUAUACUAUUACUUUGGUCAACCUAUUUAUCGCUAUAAUUCACUAGUAAGCGAAAAAUUUUCUAGUCCCAUGUACCUAGCUAUUUACUAAUACAAAUAUAACUACGUAAGUGUAAAUAUGGGGACAUUUUUGGCUACUAGAGACCUUAAUUAAAAUAUACAUACCAAUUUUCCUAUUUAGAGGUGUCAUGUCUGGAGUUAAAGGUCACCGCGAUACUCUUUUGGGGAUACCUGUGUGUGUGUGUGUGUGUGAAGUGCGUCUAUGAUGUAUAUAUGGAACACCAAAAAUCCAAGUCUUGCCAAUUUUUUAAACUCCUGAACUGACCUCUAAAUAUAUAUAGACACAUAUAGGUGUCUUGGGAUGAUAUAUUCAAACACACAUGAUUUUUUUUAUUCACAUUCAAUGAUUUUCACACAUACACACACACACACACACACACACACACACACACACACACACACACACACACACACACACACACCAUGUCUCGGAAAGAGCAUCCUGGCUGGUGUGAAUCCCAGAUAUGAACCCAGAAAUGGAGCUCCCUAGGUGUAAGCUAUGUGUAAACUUUUCUUACAAGAAUCGUAGUUUAGAUGAAAAUAGAAUUAAUUGUGACUUCUUUUGUUAAUUGAAACUUCAAGAUUGAAUUAUAUAGAGAUGAUUAGUUUGAACCUUAACUGUUUACAUACCGCUAGGGAAAUAAAGCUUAAGAUUCAAAUACACGAAAAUUAUUGUGCUAAUCAAAGGUUCAAAAGGUUCACCGUAUGUUCGAGUUGCUAUUAAUGAAACGCUUCAGAGUUCUUUCUUCUUAUUAUUUGUACUGGAAUGAAUCAACAGGUGAUGCUUAGAAUCCAAAUCUGUUUAUUGUCAAAUGCUUCCUAAUGAUAAAAGUCAGGUUUCAGUGUAUUUCCCAGUAUUAUUAUUUUUUAUAUAUCCAGUGGCAUUUUAAGGAAUUUUUGUGAAUGAGGCAUUUGUAUGUACCACCAACUGUCCCCUGUGAAGCUUAGGCUUAUGUGUCACCAAUUGAUACUUUUGUUCGAAUCCCUUUUAUGUAAUCUGAUUUUAUAAUAUCACCAAUCAUUAUGUAUGAAUAUUUAUGUAUUUCCAAAACACUCAUCAAGUUAUAUGUAUGAGUAUUAUUUUUUGUUUAGGAUUUUCUUAUGAAUAUUUGAAACGCUAAAUGAGACAAUUCUUAUGUAUAACCAAACGCUUUUUUUGUAGUUUUUAUGCGUAUUAUAGAGUAACAUAUAGUUUAUGUAUCAUUGAGUAAUAUUUAUGUAUUUCUGUGCAUCAAUAAAUAUUUGUUAUAUUGUUUAUGAGUCAUCAGAGACCUUCAACAAGCUAAUAUAUACAAUUUAUUUAAUGAUUUUUGUCUAUAUCUGAUUAUCAUAAAAAACUAUAAUACAAAUUAUUAUGUAUCACUGAAUAUUUUUCUGUAUUUCAAUGUAUCAUCUGAAUAUUUAUAAUUUCGGAUCUUAUGUAUUUACAAGAAAAAUUAUGUAUUUUUGUGAUUUACGAAACUAUUUAUGAAUUCAACUGUAAUGUAUCACUAAACAAGUCAAGAUGUAAUUUAUGUGUCUCCUAACAACUUAUAAAUUCAGUUCCUACAUAUCACUAAAUGUUAAUUAUGUGAUUUUAUGUAUAUUCAAACGCUUGUUAUGUCUCAGGUCUACAUAUAUUUAAGUGAUAUUUUUUUCAAGUGAAUCGUAAUGACAUUAAAUCAUUUGUAUUACGAAGUGAAUCUUAAAAGGCCAAUUUUCCUAUGCAUUUUGUAACGAAUCAUGUCUGGAUUACUAUAUUUUCCAGACAACUGCAAGGAAAGCAAUCUUUUUAUGUCACACAAGAACACUCGUAAGAAUACAGUUUUGCAUGUAUUUUUGUACCGUUUAAGGAGAUAUUAAAUUCUGCAUGGGAUUAUUUUGAUUUCCAGGCGACUUUAAUGAAAACCAAUUUUCAUAUAUCAAAGUAUACAUAUAUAUGGAUAUAUUUUAUAUGUAUAAUCAAACGUUUCUGAUGAUGUGAAUUUUUUUAAUGUAACUUCAAAAUAUUAUUAUUGCAUAUCCUUUUGGAGAUUAUUUUUUGGCUUUAAUUUAUUUUGAGCCAUUAAGAUCAAUGUUUUUUGUCUCACGUACCGAUUCUUACAAGGACAGUGUUUAUGUAUCAUGAAGUAAGAGUUAUUUAGUAUUUUUUUAUCAAUGUGUGUUCAUUUAUGUAGGUAUUAUUUAUAAUGCACAAGCAAAACUAGAACAAUGAAGCCAAACUUUAUGUAUCAAGCGAGUCUAUUGACAGCAUUUUCCCUGUAUUAUAAAACCCAAGAUUAUGAACCUUCAGUAUCCAUUUAUGUAUCUUUUGAAAUCCUCUUGUAAGGAAUUUUCGAUUGACUUUCUAAUGUAAAUUAACUUCAUGUAUCACCAAACACGUCUUAGGAGGAGAUAUUUUAUGUAUUUCUGAAAGACUCUCCUGUAAUUUGUCUCCAUGCGUUAGUAAACAAGUGCAACCAA